GGAUGUGAGGGCCAUCUGGCUGCGAAAUCUGUCACCCCGUUGAUUACUGCAGUUGAUUUGGCUGAUCUGGUUGGCCAAGAGGGUAUCCUCAUCCUCCCUCAAUGUUCCAUGUGUGUGUCCCUUCUAAAACUGUGUGCUCAACAGUCGAGGAGGAUGACUGCCGUGGACAGAGGAGGACCAUUUCCUCAGUCAAGGGUAUAAAAAAGUACAUGCACUCCCUAGCUAAAACCUCCAAACAACUCUCAAAGUCCAAAAAACCUGGAAAGAAACAAGUCAAUCACAAAAAAAUUAAACUCAAUACAGUUCUAUUUCUAGAAAGUUCUGU
ensembl:misc_RNA 7SK 7SK RNA